UCCGGUUUAUCACCGGCAGUCUCCACAGAGUUCCCGGCAUGACCCGCUGGCAACUACAGGCAAGGGUUGCGCUCGUUGCGGGACUUAACCCAACAUCUCACGACACGAGCUGACGACAGCCAUGCAGCACCUGUAUCUCGGUUCCCGAAGGCACCAAUCCAUCUCUGGAAAGUUCCGAGUAUGUCAAGGGCAGGUAAGGUUCUUCGCGUUGCAUCGAAUUAAACCACAUGCUCCACCGCUUGUGCGGGUCCCCGUCAAUUCCUUUGAGUUUUAAUCUUGCGACCGUACUCCCCAGGCGGGAUGCUUAAUGCGUUAGCUGCGCCACUGAAGGGUAAACCCACCAACGGCUAGCAUCCAUCGUUUACGGCGUGGACUAC
rnacentral:misc_RNA from 1 species